GAUGAACGCUGGCGGCGUGCCUAAUACAUGCAAGUCGAGCGAACGGACGAGAAGCUUGCUUUUCUGAUGUUAGCGGCGGACGGGUGAGUAACACGUGGAUAACCUACCUAUAAGACUGGGAUAACUUCGGGAAACCGGAGCUAAUACCGGAUAAUAUUUUGAACCGCAUGGUUCAAAAGUGAAAGACGGUCUUGCUGUCACUUAUAGAUGGAUCCGCGCUGCAUUAGCUAGUUGGUAAGGUAACGGCUUACCAAGGCAACGAUGCAUAGCCGACCUGAGAGGGUGAUCGGCCACACUGGAACUGAGACACGGUACAGACUCCUACGGGAGGCAGCAGUAGGGAAUCUUCCGCAAUGGGCGAAAGCCUGACGGAGCAACGCCGCGUGAGUGAUGAAGGUCUUCGGAUCGUAAAACUCUGUUAUUAGGGAAGAACAUAUGUGUAAGUAACUGUGCACAUCUUGACGGUACCUAAUCAGAAAGCCACGGCUAACUACGUG
rnacentral:rRNA from 1 species